GCUGGGUGUGGUGGUGUGCGCCUGUAGUCCCAGCUUAGUUGGGAGGCUGAGGCAGGAGAAUUGCUUGAGCCCAGGAGGCGGAGGUUGCAGUGAGCCAAGAUUGCACCACUGCACUCCAGCCUGGGCAACAGAGCAAGACUCUGUCUCAA
rnacentral:sRNA from 1 species